rnacentral:rRNA from 1 species
UACGAAGGGGGCUAGCGUUGCUCGGAAUCACUGGGCGUAAAGCGCACGUAGGCGGAUUGUUAAGUCAGGGGUGAAAUCCUGGAGCUCAACUCCAGAACUGCCUUUGAUACUGGCAAUCUCGAGUUCGGGAGAGGUGAGUGGAACUGCGAGUGUAGAGGUGAAAUUCGUAGAUAUUCGCAAGAACACCAGUGGCGAAGGCGGCUCACUGGCCCGAUACUGACGCUGAGGUGCGAAAGCGUGGGUAGCAAACAGG